rnacentral:rRNA from 1 species
UACAGAGGGUGCAAGCGUUGUUCGGGAUUAUUGGGCGUAAAGGGUGCGUAGGCGGUGCGGUACGUCUUCUGUGAACUCUCCGGGCUCAACUCGGAGUCUGCAGAGGAAACUGCCGUGCUGGAGUAUGGGAGAGGUGAGUGGAAUUCCCGGUGUAGCGGUGAAAUGCGUAGAGAUCGGGAGGAACACCUGUGGCGAAAGCGGCUCACUGGACCAUUACUGACGCUGAUGCACGAAAGCUAGGGGAGCAAACAGG